rnacentral:rRNA from 1 species
AUUGAACGCUGGCGGCAGGCCUAACACAUGCAAGUCGAACGGUAACAGGAAACAGCUUGCUGUUUCGCUGACGAGUGGCGGACGGGUGAGUAAUGUCUGGGAAACUGCCUGAUGGAGGGGGAUAACUACUGGAAACGGUAGCUAAUACCGCAUAACGUCGCAAGACCAAAGAGGGGGACCUUCGGGCCUCUUGCCAUCGGAUGUGCCCAGAUGGGAUUAACUAGUAGGUGGGGUAACGGCUCACCUAGGCGACGAUCCCUAGCUGGUCUGAGAGGAUGACCAGCCACACUGGAACUGAGACACGGUCCAGACUCCUACGGGAGGCAGCAGUGGGGAAUAUUGCACAAUGGGCGCAAGCCUGAUGCAGCCAUGCCGCGUGUAUGAAGAAGGCCUUCGGGUUGUAAAGUACUUUCAGCGGGGAGGAAGGGAGUAAAGUUAAUACCUUGGCUCAUUGACGUUACCCGCAGAAGAAGCACCGGCUAACUCCGUG